rnacentral:rRNA from 1 species
GUGCCAGCAGCCGCGGUAAUACGGAGGAUGCAAGCGUUAUCCGGAAUGAUUGGGCGUAAAGCGUCCGCAGGUGGUGAUGUAAGUCUGCUGUCAAAGCGUCUAGCUCAACUAGAUACAGGCAGUGGAAACUACAUGACUAGAGUGCGUUCGGGGCAGAGGGAAUUCCUGGUGUAGCGGUGAAAUGCGUAGAUAUCAGGAAGAACACCGGUGGCGAAAGCGCUCUGCUAGGCCGCAACUGACACUGAGGGACGAAAGCUAGGGGAGCGAAUGGGAUUAGAUACCCCCGUAGUCC